rnacentral:rRNA from 1 species
CCUUGAAAUACCACCCUUUAAUGUUUGAUGUUCUAACGUUGACCCGUAAUCCGGGUUGCGGACAGUGUCUGGUGGGUAGUUUGACUGGGGCGGUCUCCUCCUAAAGAGUAACGGAGGAGCACGAAGGUUGGCUAAUCCUGGUCGGACAUCAGGAGGUUAGUGCAAUGGCAUAAGCCAGCUUGACUGCGAGCGUGACGGCGCGAGCAGGUGCGAAAGCAGGUCAUAGUGAUCCGGUGGUUCUGAAUGGAAGGGCCAUCGCUCAACGGAUAAAAGGUACUCCGGGGAUAACAGGCUGAUACCGCCCAAGAGUUCAUAUCGACGGCGGUGUUUGGCACCUCGAUGUCGGCUCAUCACAUCCUGGGGCUGAAGUAGGUCCCAAGGGUAUGGCUGUUCGCCAUUUAAAGUGGUACGCGAGCUGGGUUUAGAACGUCGUGAGACAGUUCGGUCCCUAUCUGCCGUGGGCGCUGGAGAACUGAGGGGGGCUGCUCCUAGUACGAGAGGACCGGAGUGGACGCAUCACUGGUGUUCGGGUUGUCAUGCCAAUGGCACUGCCCGGUAGCUAAAUGCGGAAGAGAUAAGUGCUGAAAGCAUCUAAGCACGAAACUUGCC